UUUGGUCUAAGACAGGGGGAAAUCCCAAAGUUGAUGAAAUGAAUAUAUUCAAGUUUUCCAUCUAGCAGCAUUUGCCUUAUCUAUUUUGCACCAUCUCUAAGAAAGUUACAUCUCAUUUGUUAUGCAAUGUUAACAACAUAUAAGAGUGCAUAGAAGGAAGGCAGUAGCAAUGUAUUUAUUAUCACAGUCCAUGUAAUACAGUCAGUCCUCAACAUUUGCUGGGGUUAGGGGCAAGGGGUACUCGUGGAAGUGAAAAAAUGCAAAUUGGAGGAUCUCGAAAUGCCUACAGGCAAUAUAGGCCAUGGGAGGGGCAGUAGCUCUUAAUUCCCUGCUGCCAUGCUGCGGCUCAAGUGGGGAGGAUGAGCAGGGAUGUGUAGAUUUCACAGAUGACCACUCAAAGAAACAUGGUUACAGGUAAGCAGCCAUUAUUUCUCUUUUGUGGCCUCUGGUGAAAUGAGGACAUAUGGUAGACUAGCAAGCCACGUACCUUGGUUGGUGGGCAUCAUGCCACUGCUGAGAAGAUUGCUCUGCCAAAUGUGGUAUGUCUCUGGGACUGGAUGUCUAUCUUGUAAUUGGUUGCAAAUGUGCAACGUCCACAGAGAGGAGAGGCUGGGACGGCAAUGGUAAGCAUGGCUGCACCGCAGAUGAUUCCUAUGGUUCUUGCACUCCCCUUAUCUUCCGCUUCUUUUGGCUGGCUUCUGCACAGGUGAGGGGGUACGACUGGCGUUUGGCCACUUGUGCUGGCCGCCUAUGUCCUUGGCAUCAGGCUGGGCACUGGAUCCUGGCACCAGAGCUGCUGGCCCGAAUGGAGCCAGUGCAAGUGCCUUUUCACAAAGGUGGGCCUUCAGUUGAGCCUCCCGGCUCUUCUUCACCCUUAGCGUAAGCACCCGGCAAGCAGGGAAAGAGUGCACAGAGUGCGCCUCGCCCAAGCAAAGAUGGCACAUAGAAUGUGUGCCUCCCUCAGGGAGCUUAUCCCCACAGGAGGUACAGAUCUUAGACAAAAGUCUAGUCAUUAUACAGACCAGGUCGGGGUGCCAGAAAGGUAAGGAUAGUCAGGCCGUUACGGGUCAAGGUUUGGAGAAAGCAAGCUUAAGUCAAAACCAGUCCAAAUCAAGAUCAAUAAAGUUUGUAAAGUCAGAGAGGUUUCUGCUAUGCUACUGCAGAGUCGGUGGAAAAAAGGAACUAAGGGCUACUGUCUCUCCCACGGGCUAUAUUGCCUCCUGGGGUAUGUGGGCGGGGCCGUAGCUACAAGCCUGAAAGCUUUCUAGAAGGUUCCGUUGAUUGUUGCAUAGGUGCAUCAACUAUCCUAUAUGUUCAUUUCACCAGAGACCACAAAGGAGAAGACCUGUUACUGAAUUUUGCAAGCCUACUUUCAAAAUGCAGAAAUAUUGAACAGAGAAGAAACCAAUUUCAAAAGCACAUUUCAAUGUCCAUGAAAGUAUUUCUAAACAAACCUCGACAUGUGUAGAACGUAUUGAACAGGAAGCAAAUUCUACCUACCCGCCCUCGUUCUGUGAGAGUUGUCAACAUGAUAAUUAGUGACAAUUUGUGAUCCCAAACUGCUUGCCAGAAAUGAACACAGGAAUCCUCAGAGUUGAUAACAAGGAUGUGGGCGUGUUAAGAGGAAAAGAAAAGACCCGUCAGUCUCAGAAGACACUAAGGAAAGCAGAUGUCCUGGGACAUAGCAUUUUUGCUGACAAGCUUGAAGACGUAGCAGCAGCAACAAAAAACAAUCACGUCAGUUGGGUAUCACUGUAAUCAAACCAAAGGACACUCUAGAUCAGUGUUUCUCAAACUGUGCUCCUCUAGGUGAUUUGGAUUUCAGCUUCAAGAAAUCCCAGCCAGCUUACUAGUUGUUAGAAAUUGUAAGAUCUGAAGUCCAAAACAUCUGGAGGAGCAUAGUUUGAGAAUCUCUGGUCUAGAUUAAUUAAUAACUCCUCACUACAAAAGACCAGGCCUUAGCAACAUGAUAAACAGAGCUGGAUUUAAGCAAAGCAGUGAAGAACCUGGAACAAUGAAAGACUUGGCAUGUACUAUAAGUAUAGCCAGACACCUGGAAGAAGGCAAGAAAAAUAUCCUGAGGCAUGAAGAAACCCAAGAAUUAAAUAGAUGCAAAAUUCACAUGAAGAAUAAGAACAAUAAAAACAAAAUGCUAGCCAAAUUGUUAGCCUAGCUCUAGAAAUUUCUAAAGAAUACAUAUCUGUAGAAGUUGUGUGUGUGUGGCUGCACAGGGGCAAUUAAGAAAAUGUGGAAGUUAUAAAGGAACAGAUGGAAAAAGCAUUUAUGUUUAUUACAAAUACACAAAUUGGGGAAAUUAUGAAUGCAUAUUAUGAAUACAUAUCCUGACCAUAAUAUUCUAGAAGUUGCAAAGAAGAGCUUGGUAUAUUGUUAGAUGGAUGUCAUCCAGAUAUACUGUCAAUUAAAAUUUAGAUUGUCAUAAUGAUACUGAAGAGAUAGCACUGCAAAAUAUUAAAAUAGCCAAUUAAAUUGCUGCCUUCAUAUUUGUUUUCUUCUGAAACAGAAAACAGAGAAAGGUCGACCUGAACUGCUUCAGCAAUAGCUUCGCCUGCAAUUAUAUUGCAUCUGCACUUUAUUAUCAGUCCUGGUCCUAUUGUCCUGAGUUUUGCACAAGCCCAGCCCUUCCCUCGCAAUUCUCAAUAGGCCCACUGUUUGGUUAUGUGAUGUUGAUCGAUGCAUUUUAUGAUGUUUUUAUUUCUUUGGUUUUAAUUGUUUUUAAUUACAUUGUUUUUGUUAUGUGUUUUAAUUUUGUACCUUGAAUUCCAUGCUUAUUCUGGGCUUCACAAUGUAAGCCAUUCCGAGUCCCUUUGGGAAGAUGGAGGCUGUUUAUAAGAAUAAAGUUAUUAUUAUUUAACAAAAUGGGAAGGCAUAAAGAUUAGGGGUGGACAUUAUGGGGAGGGAAUUGGGAGGCAGGUGAGGGAGGGCAAUGGUAACCAAACCUGUAUAGGUCCUUUUUAACUUGUGCAAUAUAAUAAUUCUAUUUCGGCCAGCACCUUAAACACUCUGACUCAAACACUACAUCAGCCCUGUUGGCUUGUCGCCAACUGCCUUUUUACAUUUAAUAUUUUAACUGUUUACUAAUAUUAGAUCUAUUAGUAAAUAUGUCCUAAAUGUUUGAUUUAUAUAUUAAAAUUUCUAUUUUUUA